rnacentral:rRNA from 1 species
UACAGAGGGUGCGAGCGUUGUCCGGAAUCACUGGGCGUAAAGGGCGCGUAGGUGGCCUGGUAAGUAGGGGGUGAAAUCUCGAGGCUCAACUUCGAGGCUGCCUCCUAAACUGCCAGGCUUGAGCAGAGUAGAGGCAGGUGGAAUUCCCGGUGUAGCGGUGGAAUGCGUAGAGAUCGGGAAGAACAUCGGUGGCGAAGGCGGCCUGCUGGGCUCUUGCUGACACUGAGGCGCGACAGCGUGGGGAGCAAACAGG